rnacentral:rRNA from 1 species
GACGAACGCUGGCGGCGUGCUUAACACAUGCAAGUCGAACGGAGCGAAUGAAAGCUUGCUUUUAUAAGCUUAGUGGCAAACGGGUGAGUAACACGUAGACAACCUGCCGACAGGAUGGGGACAACAUUCCGAAAGGAAUGCUAAUACCGAAUGAAGUCGAGGGAAGGCAUCUUCCUUCGAUGAAAGAUGGCCUCUAUAUAUAAGCUAUCACCUGUUGAUGGGUCUGCGUCUGAUUAGCUGGUAGGUGAGGUAACGGCUCACCUAGGCGACGAUCAGUAGCCGGUCUGAGAGGAUGAACGGCCACAUUGGGACUGAGACACGGCCCAGACUCCUACGGGAGGCAGCAGUGGGGAAUCUUCCGCAAUGGGCGCAAGCCUGACGGAGCAACGCCGCGUGAGUGAAGAAGGUCUUCGGAUCGUAAAGCUCUGUUGAUGGGGACGAACGUGCCUAAUGCGAAUAGUUUU